AUACGGAGGGUGCGAGCGUUAAUCGGAAUUACUGGGCGUAAAGCGUACGCAGGCGGUUGGUUAAGCGAGAUGUGAAAUCCCCGGGCUCAACCUGGGAACUGCAUUUCGAACUGGCCAACUAGAGUAUGAGAGAGGGUGGUAGAAUUUCAGGUGUAGCGGUGAAAUGCGUAGAGAUCUGAAGGAAUACCGAUGGCGAAGGCAGCCACCUGGUUCAAUACUGACGCUCAUGUACGAAAGCGUGGGGAGCAAACAGGAUUAGAAACCCGAGUAGUCC
rnacentral:rRNA from 1 species